rnacentral:rRNA from 1 species
UACGAAGGGUGCGAGCGUUGUUCGGAAUUACUGGGCGUAAAGGGCGCGCAGGCGGCUCAGACAGUCAGAUGUGAAAGCCCCGGGCUUAACCUGGGAACUGCAUUUGAUACUACUGAGCUUGAGUACGGGAGAGGAUAGUGGAAUUCCCAGUGUAGAGGUGAAAUUCGUAGAUAUUGGGAAGAACACCGGUGGCGAAGGCGGCUAUCUGGACCGUAACUGACGCUGAGGCGCGAAAGCGUGGGGAGCAAACAGG